UGGCUCCACUUAGUCCAACAUUCAGGCUUCAUAUGUUUGAUUCUAUGCAAACUCACUGAGCUUCCUUCCUACUCAGCUAUAAAAACUUCACAGCAGGAUGUGGAGUGAAUUGAACUGAACAUCUGUCUCAACAGAAACCAUGUUGUCUGUAACUCUGCUGCUGCUGUUGGCAGCUGGAUCCUGUGUUGAUGGUCAGACUCUGACAGAAUCUGAACCAGUGAUUAAAAGACCUGGAGAAUCCCACAGACUGACCUGUACAACAUCUGGAUUCACAUUCAGCAGCUACGGGAUGAACUGGGUCAGACAGGCUCCUGGAAAAGGACUGGAGUGGAUCGCUUAUGUAUGCACAGGCAGUUCUCCUAUCUAUUACUCCCAGUCAGUCCAGGGUAGAUUCACCAUCUCCAGAGAUGAUUCCAGCAGUAAAGUCUAUCUACAGAUGAACAGUCUGAGGACUGAGGACACAGCAGUGUAUUACUGUGCCCGAAGACACACAGUGAGAGACAGAAAUAGAAGAGUGGUACAAAAACUACUUCCUCUUUUAAUCACCACCAUGGAGACGGCAGUGUGAGGUUUAGUGACAACAGCAUGAGAGAAACAAGUCACCUUUUAUAGUG